GGAUUUGUCAGUUGGUCGGGCUUCACGGUCCGCACUGGUGUGGUGGAUUCCUACCUUCUGAAUAACCAGCAUGUCAUUAAUUUGGUGCGUUGGGGAGGCAGGACUGUUACCUUGAAAAAAUUAGAGUGCUUAAAGCAGGCUAGUGCCUGAAUACAUUAGCAUGGAAUAAUGAAAUAGGACGGCAUGGUUCUAUUUUGUUGGUUUCUAGGAUCACCGUA
rnacentral:rRNA from 1 species